rnacentral:rRNA from 1 species
AGUCACUGACAUUAGAUACCCGUGUAGUCCAGGGUGUAAACGCUGCAGACUUGGUGUUGGAGGCCCUUUGGGGGCAUUCAGUGCCGGAGAGAAGUUGUUAAGUCUGCUACUUGGGAGUACGUCCGCAAGGAUGAAACUUAAAGGAAUUGGCGGGGGAGCACCGCAACGGGAGGAGCGUGCGGUUUAAUUGGAUUCAACACCGUAAAACUCACCAGGGAAGACUGUUACAUGAAGGCCGUGAUGAAGACUCUGCUAGAUUUUCAG